CGACAGAAACCCCUGGCAACAACAACUGCCAGGAGGAGGAGCCAGAGCAGGAACUGGAGCCGGCUAUUAACAUCUGCCAUGAGACUCCAGCAUUCCCUGAGAAUAACACCUGUCAGGAGGAAGACCUGGUAGUGGAGGCGAGUGCCGACACCAGCCCCUGCCACUACCAGGAAUCUGUAGAUGAGAGCCGAGUCCCUCAGUAUAACACCUGUG